rnacentral:rRNA from 1 species
UACGGAGGAUGCGAGGUGUUAUCCGGAAUCACUGGGCGUAAAGCGUCUGUAGGUUGUUUGCUAAGUCUGCUGGUUAAAGCUUGAAGCUCAACUUCAAAAAUGCAGCGGAAACUAGUAGACUUGAGUGUGGUAGGGGUAGAGGGAAUUCCAGUUGAAGUGGUGAAAUGCGUAGAUAUUGGAAAGACCACGAAUCGAGCGAAGGCACUCUACUGGGCCACUACUGACACUGAGAGACGAAAGCUAGGGGAGCAAAUGGG